CUCCUGGCCCUGUGAGAUGUUCUUGCUGGGACCUACACUGGAUAGCUAUUUCUGCCACAUGGAGUUUGAGAUCCUGACUGUCUCAAUGCAGGUGUUUUCUUGGCUUGCAGAUACAAUUCAAGGAGACAACAGGUCCCAGUGCCUCAUCAGGAUUAAAACCCAGCUCUCAUCUCCAUUCCAGUGUCUUCCUGCUAGCUACCCCUUGCCAGGUGGCCUUAGACAGCAGGUUCCACGUGGCACACAUGCCAUCCCUACCAGCUAGUUCCAGCUUGCUGGUAGACCCAAAGCACCAUGCACUUGCUCAGCCCAGGCAGGCCUACGCAGCUACUGCAGCCCAGGUGACAUAUAUUACUUCCAGACCUCAGCAUCCUUACAAGGCAGCCUCUUCUCUUAAGUGCUUUACAGCUUCUCUUCAGCGUUUCUGAACUGCCAGAUCCUUACCCCUAAGCCUUGUUUAGGUGAAGGUCCUUGGAACACAGACACGGACAUCAUACAGUGGAUCUGACAACUGAGAUAGCUUGCUACAUGGGAAGGCCACAGAGAAGUCCUCACAGUUCAGAGCCAUCUGCAGUUCUGCUCAAGACCAGAGGCGCCACAAAGAGUCAUGAAGACUCUGUGG